AUAUCAAUAAGCGGAGGAAAAGAAACCAACAGGGAUUGCCUCAGUAACGGCGAGUGAAGCGGCAACAGCUCAAAUUUGAAAUCUGGCUCUUUCAGGGUCCGAGUUGUAAUUUGUAGAAGAUGCUUCGAGUGUGGCUCCGGUCUAAGUUCCUUGGAACAGGACGUCAUAGAGGGUGAGAAUCCCGUAUGUGACUGGCUGCCUUCGCUCAUGUGAAGCUUUUUCGACGAGUCGAGUUGUUUGGGAAUGCAGCUCAAAAUGGGUGGUAAAUUUCAUCUAAAGCUAAAUAUUGGCCAGAGACCGAUAGCGCACAAGUAGAGUGAUCGAAAGAUGAAAAGCACUUUGGAAAGAGAGUUAAACAGUACGUGAAAUUGUUGAAAGGGAAGCGCUUGCAACCAGACUUGCACUUGGUCGAUCAUCCGAGGUUCUCCCCGGUGCACUCGAUCUCGUUCAGGCCAGCAUCGGUUCAGGUGGUGGGAUAAAGGCCUUGGGAAUGUAGCUUCUUUCGGGGAGUGUUAUAGCCCUCGGUGCAAUGCCGCCUACCUGGACCGAGGACCGCGCUUCGGCUAGGAUGCUGGCGUAAUGGUUGUAAGCGA
rnacentral:rRNA from 1 species